rnacentral:rRNA from 1 species
UACGAAGGGGGCUAGCGUUGUUCGGAAUUACUGGGCGUAAAGCGCACGUAGGCGGAUUGUUAAGUCGGGGGUGAAAUCCCGAGGCUCAACCUCGGAACUGCCUUCGAUACUGGCGACCUUCGAGUCCGGGAGAGGUGAGUGGAACUCCGAGUGUAGAGGUGAAAUUCGUAGAUAUUCGGAAGAACACCAGUGGCGAAGGCGGCUCACUGGCCCGGUACUGACGCUGAGAUACGAAAGCGUGGGGAGCAAACAGG